GUAAGUGAAUCCCACGGGACCCAGGAAAAAUGCUUCUGACACUGGUGCUCACAUCUCCUCACCAACACCCCUUUGGGUAGAGAGGUCACAAGGACCCGAGGGGGACCUUGGACAGAGACAGACACACUCAGGAAGAACAUUGUGUGAAGACGAAGACAGGGAGAGAGGUGAUGCUUCUACCAGCCAAGGAACACUGAAGAUGCCAGCAACCACCAGAAGGACCGGAAGCUAGAGGGAGAGAGGAGAGCCUUCUUCACAGACCUCAGAAGGAACCCAUGUACCAACACCUUGAUUUUGGACUUCCAGCCUCCGGAACUGUGAGACAAUACAUUUCUGCUGUUUAAGCCCCCUGUUUGUGGUACUCUGCUAUGGCAGCCCGAGCAAACUGAUGCAGGGGGAUGCAGGGAGAGAGGACAGACUUUUUUGCCAUUUGCCAGCUAUGUGAGCCCUGACAAGUUACAGCUCUGGCGGAGACUGGUUUCUUUAUCUGUGAGAUGGGGUUAGCACUAGUGACUCAGAAGGUGGAGUGACAUCUGCAUGGAAGAUUUCAGACCCAUCCCUGACACACAAAACGAUCAGCAUUUAUCACAAAUGUACAAAUUAGUCACCAUUGGGCAUCAUGGGAGGGGACCCUGCGAUGCACUUUAAGUUGCUUCACAAAUACGUGCUUUUCCUCCCCUUUAAAAUUCUAUACUCCUUGUGGGCAGGAAAUGAGUCAUCAUAUUAAAUCCCCAGUGACAUCAGGACAGUUCUCCGAACUCCAUAAAUGGCUCAACAAUACUUCUUUCGAAAUAAGGACACAGACGUUACAGCCCACAGGCUCCAAUGAUGCAGAGAAUCUUGGGCAGCUAGCCUCGCUCCUAAAGGAGACAGAAUGGUCUUUACCAGGUGGCUGUGUCUUCCUGCUGUGGUUCCAAAGUUAGAGAGCUCUGGGCAAGGGGCUGGAGCUGGGGCUGAUGGGUCUGAGCACAGUCAGCCGGGACCUGAUUCCCCUGAAAACUCCUCAUGGAUAUUCUUCAAAAGACCCAGGGUCUUCACAGAACUCUCUAGAAACAACAAUGAUCUCCUUGGAGCCCAAACAGUCCCUGAGCUAUCAGACAGCUGCCACCAUAUCAAUCUAAUCAAGUCUUGUUUAGGCUGAUAUUGAAAUGAAGGAGGAAGCCAUCUGGGCCAGUCAGAAUCUGGAAUUUAGAAGGAAGACAGGAGGUCAACAAUUUGGAUUUGACGAAAGAAACAUUAGUGAACUAAAUUCUCCCUUCUCCUACUUUUUGAAGGCUUCUUGGUGACUGCUUCUUGAAAUAAAGAGAAGAUUAAUAGAGUUGAAACUGUGAUGGACGCUAUUGAUGCUCCAUCUAGAACUCCCAAAUUCCUUGGACCAGCUACUCUCUGUGCCUGUCCCCACCUCUGAGGCUUACUGAUCACACCUGUGCCUUACCUCACAGCAUUGCCCUCAGAUGGAACAAAAAGAGCUCGAGUGAUGUGCCCAGGCUCUAUGUGCAGCAUCUGGCUGGUCUGGGAGUUGGACCCAGG
rnacentral:lncRNA from 1 species